UGUAUCUGAAGCCUGACGAGGAUGAGAACCUCCGGGGGCAAGAGGUUCGACCCGAGCGAAGCGAGAAAACGUUGCGUCAGCAACGGCCCGCAGGACGAGCCACGCAGUGGCGAGUCAUCCUCUAUCACCGACCA
rnacentral:sRNA from 1 species